rnacentral:rRNA from 1 species
UGUAUCCAGUCAGGAGUUUGCACAGGUGCUGCAUGGCUGUCGUCAGCUCGUGCCGUGAGGUGUUAGGUUAAGUCCUGCAACGAGCGCAACCCUCGUCGCUAGUUGUUUUCUCUAGCGAUACUGCCCGUAUAACGUGGAGGAAGGUGGGGAUGACGUCAAGUCAGCAUGGCCCUUACAUCCUGGGCUACACACACGCUACAAUGGGUGAUACAACAGGUUGCGAUAGAGUAAUCUGGAGCCAAUCCCUAAAAUCAUCCUCAGUACGGAUUGCAGGCUGCAACUGCCUGCAUGAAGUUGGAGUUGCUAGUAAACGCAGGUCAGCACACUGCGUUGAAUACGUUCUCGGGCCUU